AUUGAACGCUGGCGGCAUGCUUUACACAUGCAAGUCGAACGGUAACAGGGAGCUUGCUCCGCUGACGAGUGGCGAACGGGUGAGUAAUAUAUCGGAACGUACCCAAGAGUGGGGGAUAACGUAGCGAAAGUUACGCUAAUACCGCAUACGAUCUAUGGAUGAAAGUGGGGGAUCGCAAGACCUCAUGCUCCUGGAGCGGCCGAUAUCUGAUUAGCUAGUUGGUGAGGUAAAGGCUCACCAAGGCGACGGUCAGUAGCUGGUCUGAGAGGACGACCAGCCACACUGGAACUGAGACACGGUCCAGACUCCUACGGGAGGCAGCAGUGGGGAAUUUUGGACAAUGGGCGCAAGCCUGAUCCAGCAAUGCCGCGUGAGUGAAGAAGGCCUUCGGGUUGUAAACCACUGUCAGUGGGGAGCAAAUGCAUCAGGGUUCUCCCUGGUGUUUGAGCGAUCCGCAGAGGAAGCACAGGCUAAUUCCGUGCCAGCAGCCGCCGUAA
rnacentral:rRNA from 1 species